CCCCCAGUAACGGCGAGUGAAGCGGGAAGAGCUCAAGCUUAAAAUCUCCAUGUUUUACAUGGCGAAUUGUAGUCUAUUGAGGCUGUUGUCAGCAUAGCGAUUUGGGAUAAGUCCCUUGGAAAAGGGCAGCAUAGAGGGUGAUACUCCCGUCUUUGCUCAGAUUGUCUAUGUGUACGAUACGCUUUCUUUGAGUCGAGUUGUUUGGGAAUACAGCUCAAAGUAGGUGGUAAAUUCCAUCUAAAGCUAAAUAUUGGUGCGAGACCGAUAGCGAACAAGUACCGUGAGGGAAAGAUGAAAAGAACUUUGAAAAGAGAGUUAAAGAGUACCUGAAACUGUUGAAAGGGAACCGUAACAUGUCCAGUGUUGUAUCU
rnacentral:rRNA from 1 species